GACACAGUGAAUGUGUUGUCUCUAGGGCCUGACUUGACAGGAUAAAAGGUCUCAAAAUUGUGCUGUUUGUUAUCAGAAGGGAGGGUCUGCGGCUGCUGAGCCUUGUGGGAGAUGAAGAAGGGAAGUCACUUGCUUCAUGGCCAGGGAAGGGCUCCAGCAAGACAUGGGCUCCUGAAAGUGACAGUGUGUGAAGGCCCGGAGAGGCACAGGACCUGCUGGAGGAUGCCAAAGUAAACUUGGUGGCCACAUGUCAAAGACGGAGAUGCACAAAAUGGGAGGAACCUAGAUCCCUGAAUGACUUUGUGGAGCUGAGCCCCUAGGCCACCCUGCAUUGGAUGUGAAAUGAGUGAGAAAUAAACCUUUGGAGUUUCA
rnacentral:lncRNA from 1 species